GGCGCGUGCGUAACCCUGGGCGCGGUCCCCGGCCUCACCCACGUGAGGCUGGCCCUCUCUGCCGCCGCCCGGCUGACUCACAGCGCCUCACAGCGAUCGCUCCGGCUCACUUUGCCCCCGCCCGGCUCACACCACCGGGCAGGGGGUCAUUCUUACCGGCGACAUCC
rnacentral:snoRNA from 1 species